rnacentral:lncRNA from 8 species
GGGCAAUUAGCAAUGCUUACUGUAAGCAGAAAACAAAUUACAAUUUGGCAAAUUACUUUAUGGAAGUUUCUUUACUUCAUGUCCUUUAUAAAAGUUUGUGUUGCCACCUUGUGGUUAUAGCUUGCACCUUACAGAGAUAUAAAACAUUUGGUAGCAGUUAUUACAACACUUCCUUUGACCGUUUGACUCUUGUUGGUGGCCUCUCAUCACCUUCAUAACAGUGGCGGUUCUAGACCAUUUCAACUGGGGGGCCAAGCUGGGGCCAGUUGUACUGUUAGAGGAGCCAGUUACAUUAGACGUUAUUGUUGUCAUAUUGUUUUCUUCACUGCAUUGCAGGCAUUAGCAGGCAAAAGACCAUGUUCAUAAUCAUUAGUGUUCCGCGUUGCCGCUGUCUAAUAACGGAUGUAAAAAAAGAACGAUAGCAAAAAUGUGUUAUGUCAAAAUGAUUUCAUACUCCACAUUUAGUUCAUAAGUGGGUUGGUCGCGCCCACUAACUCCGGCUCCAUGGGAACCGGGACUUUUGGACGAAGAACUCGGUUGAACCGCGAGGAGGAGGAAGAUUUGUGACAGCGCACAAGGAAGGACACGCCUGCUCGUUACAUCGACAGUUUGUUGCAGCGGAAGAUGGACAUCCGGAGUGGCAUACAAAAGGCAGUGGAGCCCCUCCCUGCCUCUCUCCCCUCUUCCCCUCAACAGUCGGGUGCCCAUCAGCAGAGCGAGCCGGAGGACAGCCAGGCAGAACGGAGUGCCAGGCCCACCGCUGACAACCACAGCAACGACACCCAGCCAGCCGCCGGCCACCGAGACGACAAAAAACCCAGUGCAGCAGUGAGAGGAUACCACAGCAGUAAGACGGCCAUGAGCCCAGCAAGCUUUAGCUCCCAAUGGAACAGCAGUGUACAGGGGGCCUGUAGUGGCCACUCCGUCUCCUACCCCCGCGCCGCCUGCAGUACCCAGCCCACCUCCAUCACCACACCAGCUACGCUUACUGCCAGGAACAGCCAGCAGUGA